GUGAAUCAUCAAAUCUUUGAACGCAAAUUGCACUUUCUGGUAUUCCGGAAAGUAUGCCUGUUUGAGGGUCAGUUAAAUAAAAAUCGGUGUUGUUGUUGCUUUUCGUGGUAACGCGUCGGAAUUGAGUUGUCUUACCUUGGGUUAAGUGACUUAAAAUUUUGCUUGUUUUUCGAACGUAUUUAAAUUUUUUACGAACGUUUGAGUUAUCAAAAACUUUAUUAGUUUGGGUAAUC
rnacentral:misc_RNA from 1 species